UACGUAGGGUGCAAGCGUUGUCCGGAUUUAUUGGGCGUAAAGAGCUCGUAGGCGGUUUGUCGCGUCGACUGUGAAAGCCCGGGGCUCAACUCCGGGUCUGCAGUCGAUACGGGCAGACUAGAGUUCGGUAGGGGAGACUGGAAUUCCUGGUGUAGCGGUGAAAUGCGCAGAUAUCAGGAGGAACACCAGCGGCGAAGGCGGCGCUCUGGGCCGGAACUGACGCUGAGGAGCGAAAGCGUGGGUAGCAAACAGG
rnacentral:rRNA from 1 species